UACGGAGGGUGCAAGCGUUAAUCGGAAUUACUGGGCGUAAAGCGCACGCAGGCGGUUAAUUAAGUCAGAUGUGAAAGCCCCGGGCUCAACCUGGGAAUUGCAUCCGAAACUGGCAAGCUUGAGUCUUGUAGAGGGGGGUAGAAUUCCAGGUGUAGCGGUGAAAUGCGUAGAGAUGUGGAGGAAUACCGGUGGCGAAGGCGGCCCCCUGGACGAAGACUGACGCUCAGGUGCGAAAGCGUGGGGAGCAAACAGG
rnacentral:rRNA from 1 species